GAUGUGUGGGGGUACGUGAAGAAAUCCCUACCUGUCCAGUAUGGUUACCACUAACCAAGUUCGAAUGCACCGGAAUUGAUGUUGAACAAAGGUCGCCCAUAUGUGUGGGGGUACGUGAAGAAAUCCCUACCUGUCCAGUAUGGUUACCACUAACCAAGUUCGAAUGCACCGGAAUGGAUGUUGAACAAAGGUCGCCCAUAUGUGUGGGGGAACGUGAAGAAAUCCCUACCUGUCCAGUAUGGUUACCACUAACCAAGUUCGAAUGCACCGGAAUGGAUGUUGAACAAAGGUCGCCCAUGUGAGCAAGUCUUUGUAUACCGGUAUUUCCUGAAACCAAAACGUAUUUGUUGCUAUUCAAAAAUAAUGUAUAAGAUAACCGCCGUUCAGCCCCCGUUCCUAUGUGUCGUUGAUUAAUGUACAUUCAACAAAAUUAAGAUUGCCGGUAUUAAUGUACCCUUUUCAUACAAUUAUUACAGGAUUUGUCAACGCGCAUUCCUGUUCAUAAAUAUAAGAGUAAAGCGUUUAUUUAUCAGAAUGUCUCUUGAUGUAUAUUCACCAAACAUGAGAUUGCUUGUAUUACAUAAAUAUACCCGUUUCAUUAAUUAGCGUAUAGCAGGCAUUGUCAAAGCGCAUUCUUGUUCAUGUUUAUAAGAAUAGAGCGUUUGUUUAUUAGAAUGUCUCUUGAUUAUGGGCCAGCAAGUUUUGACACAUGCUGGGCGCUUGGCAAUAAGGCAAUCGCUACCCCUCAAUUCAACUAUAUGUUGUGGUGGCAACCUGCCAUGUCAGACCGUUCAUCGUGUUGAGCUCGAACAUUCGACCUCAUACUUCUUAUGCAAAUUCCCUAAAUAUGGGAUCACGGAGAUCGUAUUUUGUGGCAAAUCAAUAUUUGGAAGUUGGUUGUACAUUGUAGUGGGGACGUACAAUUAACAUGGUACGGAAUACCGAUAGGGACAUCGUAGUUACACAUUAAAAUCCAGAGGGCGACAAUGCGAUAGUGCGACAGUGCGAUGGCGACAAUGCGAUAAUACGAUGACGACAGUACGAUAACCGUUAACGCAAUAGUACGAUGGCGACAAUACGAUAAUACGAUGACGACAGUGCGACAAUACGAUGGCGACAGUGCGAUAGUACGAUGGCGACAAUUGGAUAGUACGAUAAUACGAUGACAACAGUGCGACAAUACGAUUGCGACAGUGCGAUACUACGAUAGCAACAAUGCGACAAUGCGAUAGUACGAUGGCGACAUGCAAUGCGAUAAUACGAUGACGACAGUGCGACAACACAAUGCGUUUAUACGAUGACGACAGUACGAUAAAUCGAUAGUACGAUGGGGACCAUGCCAUCGUACUAUCGCACUGUCGCCAUCGCAUUGUCGCAUUGUCGUCAUCGUACAAUCGCUUUGUCGCAAUCGAACUAUCGUAUUGUCGCCAUCGUAGUAUUUCAUUGUCGCCAUCGUACUAUCGUACUAUCGCAUUGUCGCUCU